UCGGUGUCGCGCCAGGCCCCCGCUAGCGGCUAGCCAAGCAAGCAGCAAGCAGUCGCAAUCCCGUCGCCUAACCAGCAUUGCUCGCCUUACCUUUUCACCCUCUUACAAAAUCGCAUUCGAGGCUUCCGUCAGCUGCAUAUAUUUGCCCCGUUCCAUCAGCCGGUCCCUCCGACGUCGUCCGUCGUUUUUCGUCGUCGCCAUUGCCGCCGCCACCGCCGCCGUCGCCGUUGCUGCUACUGCCGUCGUCAUCGUCGCACACGCAGUACGUCGUCGUUAUUGCUCUUGCAAUCGUCGUUUAGUCGCGCGUGGUUUUGUUAGCAACGGUCGUAUCAAAGGGAAAAGCGCGAGCGAAUAUAGAAAUAAUACGGAAUUUCUUUUGUGAUCGAGUAAGCUGAUUAUGAGUUGGAACAGUGUAGCAGUUCGCAGCAAGCACGCAUCAUCCGGGCCAGCGUUGUUCAAGUGAGAAAACAAGUUUUCGUGGUUUUUGGUGUCGCGAGAUCCGGCUGAUCGACCGGAACUAUAUAGUGGGAGUAGCGAGAAGGAAAGUAUAUUUUUUCGACGUUUCUCCUGCCGUUAGUGAGAAAGAGAGCAAGUGCAGCGUUCUAAAAGGCUCCGAAAUUCACAAUUCGUAUGUCACACGUUGAAGGAACAAGCCGUGUCAUCGUUCAUAGAAGUGCACACAAAUAAGAAAUAUAUAUAUAAAUAUAUAUCUACUUUUUUGGUGUGUUGUUCGUUACCACAGUGAGAAGUUGCAAGCUCCAGAAGAACCAGCGAGAAGGCUCACCGACCGCCUAACCUGUCACGGUGACCGACAUCACGGCGAGAUCGCGGCUGAUACCUCCGCGUGUUCCGGCGCAAGAACAGCAGAAACCGGAGUUCGACCGCGGGAGGAACCAGGAGUGCGCCGAAUAAAUGACGUAAAUCCGAGGAACGGAAACGCAACGUCACUCGCUAACUCGCAACCCCCCUUCCCCCCUACCGGACCUCCCCCACUCUGCCUUUCUCUUUUACCGUUUUCACGUCUCUCCUGUCCCAUCCCCCUUUGCCCGAUCCAGCACACCACCACCACCGACACUACCGCCGCCGCCACCACCACCGCCACCACCACCACCGCCACCAUCGCCUGACCCCUCGUCGUCGUCGUCGUCGUCGACCACUUACCGUCUCCACCAUCCGACACACAACCGGACCUUUGACCCCCUGCCUCUUUACCCGCUUUGUCGCCUACCGCCUCCUCUUGUGCUUACUCUCAAACCAGCUCCAACCUUCCAGCCGCCGCCGCCGCCUUCUUCUUCUACUACUUCGUCUUCUUGUUCAUCGUCUCCCCCCUUCGUUCUCUCCCUUUCGUUCCCACACCAACGUACGACGUUCCGACGCUCCGACGUUCUGCACCCGUCCACCAUUCCUCAGGAACGCCACGCCAUCAUUGCUCUUUAUCUCUCGCCCCUUCUCCGGCAGGCGCAACCGUGGCUAAGGUGACCCUUUCGAAAAAUUCGAGAGCUCUGUUUCUAGCUCCGUUCUCUCUUACGGCCUACUACUACUGUUACUACUACUACUACUACUACUACUAGUACUAUUACUACUACUAUUACUAUUACUAUUACUACUACUAUUACAACUACUACUAUUACUACUACUACUGUUAUUACCUCCUUGGAGUCGUCCUUCCUCGUCCAAGUAGACUCAACAGACACGAGACACACACGGCGUUAGCUUCAGAACCGGCUUGAAGGACACCACGACCGGCUUUUUUGACACACAGACACACGUACACAUACACACACAGAACACACGUACGUACGUAUAUAUAUGUAUAUGUAUAUACGUGAUAUAUAUUCAUAUAUAUAUAUGUAUGUGAAACGUCUGCGACAAAACUCGAAUGCAGCAACAACAACCAGCCUACAACAUAUUCGAUAAGGAGCGAAAGAAACGCGGCUAGAGAGCACACACACCCCCGUUGGUCGACGUUCAGCUUCUCUCGAAGGCUUUCAAGCUUUGCCCAAAACUACCACUACCACUACUACUACUACUACUACUACCACCACCACUACUACUACUACUACUACUUGCUCUAGUUGCUAAAACGCGGCUUCUAAACGCCUCGCCGAGUUCAUCGCGCCAAGACGAACGAAGGAUUCGGAAGCAAGAAUCCCGGUAAGAAAAAUAUACCGGUGAGAAGAAUCGAAAAGGAGAGUGGAUCCUUCCGCGCGCCAAGUCGCUGAAACGCCUAAGAUCUUUGAAGCCAGAGCCUAAUCGCUGACAAUAUAUACGUAUAUAUAUAUAUAUAUAUAUAUAUAUAUAUAUACACACACACACACACACGUGUAUAUAUAUAUUAUCGGCCUCUUCUACUUCAACCACUUUCUUUCAAUCGGCGAAAAUACCUUCCUCUGCCUUCAUUUCCUCGAGUAGAAGGGUGCAACGCGUUCCUCCUCCAGCCAAUCGCUUCGACGUCGACGCUGCAUCAUCGGAGAAAAGGGCCGGACGCCUACCAACGCCCUAGGCUCGAGUCGGAAAAAUCGAACGAAACGGAAAGGAAACGGCUCUCUUUCUCCUUUGCGCCUAACCAGCUGAAGCUCUCACGGCGUUACGACUCAACGUGCUACGUACGGAUCGAUAGCAACAACUGUGUUUGAUAAAGAGCAGCCAGGCGAUAACGGUGUGCGUGUGUGUGUGAGAGAUCAUCGACGGUGUCUAAAUAUAGCUUUAGAGAAUUGCCCGUAGAGAAAACCGGCGCUGACAAUCGCAAGCCUUUUACGCUACACACGGUGUUCGAUAAUACGCGACAACGAAUAUAGUAGGCAGUUAAAAGAAGCAAAAAAGAAAAAAAAAAGAAAAAAAGAAGAAGAAGAAGAAAUAGAAGAAAUCGAGAAGAAUUUUAGCUCUCGAAGAUUUUACGGAUCAGUCGAAAUCUUUGUUGCGCGGUCGUCCGGUUUAUACGCGAGUUUUUAACGUGAUUCGUCGACGAGGAAGAUUCGCCGAGCUCUUGGAAGAUCAUCAGUUCGCCGCGGGACUCGUUCAUGGGACAGUAAGGUCGCACCGUACUCAAAGAAAUACUUCUUGCGAAAGAUCAGCCGGGUGCGAGUGAGCCAAGAUUAAACGAUCUGCUGCCGUGCGGGGAAGAGCAGAGAGAAACGGUCUGCGAAAGAGAAGAGGGAGGAUAAAUUGAGUCGAUAGGAAGAGCAGCCCCACUGGACUUUGUGUUAGUCCCUAGCCGAAGGAAAGGAGUUCCACGGUCUUCCAGGGCUUGGA